rnacentral:rRNA from 1 species
CUUCGGGUUGUAAAGCCCUUUUCUGGGGGACGAGAGAGGACGGUACCCCAGGAAUAAGUCACGGCUAACUACGUGCCAGCAGCCGCGGUAAUACGUAGGUGGCGAGCGUUAUCCGGAUUUACUGGGCGUAAAGCGCGUGCAGGCGGUUCUGUAAGUCGGACGUGAAAGCUCCUGGCUUAACUGGGAGAGGCCGUUCGAUACUGCAGGACUUGAGGUCGGGAGAGGGACGUGGAAUUCCCGGUGUAGUGGUGGAAUGCGUAGAUAUCGGGAGGAACACCAGUGGCGAAGGCGGCGUCCUGGCCCGCACCUGACGCUAAGACGCGAAAGCGUGGGUAGCGAACGGGAUUAGAUACCCCGGUAGUCCACGCCGUAAACGGUGGAUACUAGGUGUUGGUGGCUAUCGUCAUCAGUGCCGUAGCUAACGCGUUAAGUAUCCCGCCUGGGGACUACGGCCGCAAGGCUAAAACUCAAAGGAAUUGACGGGGGCCCGCACAAGCAGCGGAGCGUGUGGUUUAAUUCGAGGCAACACGAAGAACCUUACCUGGGCUUGACAUGUGCGUAGUAGCGAAGCGAAAGCGGAGCGAGCCUUCGGGCAGCGUACACAGGUGCUGCAUGGCUGUCGUCAGCUCGUGCCGUGAGGUGUUCGGUUAAGUCCGGUAACGAGCGCAACCCUCGCUGUUAGUUACAUGUGUCUAACGGGACCGCCGGUUUAAUGCCGGAGGAAGGUGGGGAUGACGUCAAGUCAGCAUGGCCUCUAUGUCCAGGGCUACACACACGCUACAAUGGCCGGUACAAUGGGUUGCCAAGCCGCGAGGCGGAGCUAAUCCUCCAAAGCCGGUCUCAGUUCGAAUUGCAGGCUGCAACUCGCCUGCAUGAAGGCGGAGUUGCUAGUAACCGCGCGUCAGCUAUAGCGCGGUGAAUACGUUCCCGGGCCUUGUGCACACCGCCCGUCACGUCAUGGGAGCUGGUAACACCUGAAGCCGAUGGGCUAACCGUAAGGAGGCAACCGUCGAAGGUGGGACUGGUGACUGGGACG